GGACGAACGCUGGCGGCGUGCCUAAUACAUGCAAGUCGAGCGAAUUUACGAGAGCUUGCUCUCGUAAAUUAGCGGCGGACGGGUGAGUAACACGUGGGCAACCUGCCUAUAAGACUGGGAUAACUUCGGGAACCGGAGCUAAUACCGGAUAAUUCACAUCUACUCAUGUAGAUGUGCUGAAAGACGGUUUACGCUGUCACUUAUAGAUGGGCCCGCGGCGCAUUAGCUAGUUGGUGAGGUAAUGGCUCACCAAGGCCACGAUGCGUAGCCGACCUGAGAGGGUGAUCGGCCACACUGGGACUGAGACACGGCCCAGACUCCUACGGGAGGCAGCAGUAGGGAAUCUUCCGCAAUGGACGAAAGUCUGACGGAGCAACGCCGCGUGAGUGAUGAAGGCUUUCGGAUCGUAAAACUCUGUUGUUAGGGAAGAACAAGUACCGGAGUAACUGCCGGUACCUUGACGGUACCUAACCAGAAAGCCACGGCUAACUACGUG
rnacentral:rRNA from 1 species